rnacentral:rRNA from 1 species
CAUGUCCUUUUGAGAAUAAUUUAAGGUCUAAUCUGCUCAAUGAAGUUUAAAUAGCCGCAGUAUUUUGACUGUGCAAAGGUAGCAUAAUAAUUAGUUUCUUAAUUAGAAACUGGAAUGAAUGAUUGGACAAGAAAAUUUCUGUCUCUUUUUUAAUUUUGUUGAAUUUUAUUUUUAAGUGAAAAAGCUUAAAUUUUUAUAAAAGACGAGAAGACCCUAUAGAGUUUAAUAUAUUGAUAUAAUUGGCUAUUAGUAUAUUAUUUUAUUUCAAUUUAUUUGAUUGGGGUGAUUUGGAGAUAUAAAUAAUUCUUUAAUAAAUUAAUUGAUGAUUUUUAAAUUUGAAAUCUAUAGUUUAUAAAACUAAAAUAAAUUACCUUAGGGAUAACAGCGUAAUUUUUCUUAAAAGCUCUUAUUUUAAGAAAAGUUUGCGACCUCGAUGUUGGAUUAAAAUUAAUUUUUGGUGCAGUAACUUAAAAAUUGGGUCUGUUCGACCUUUAGAAUUUUACAUGAUCUGAGUUUAAACCGGUGUAAACCAGGUUGGAUUCUAUCUUUAGAAUAUUUAGUAUAUUUUAGUACGAAAGGACCAGAUAUAUGUUAAAUUAAUUG